ACACAUGCAGUCGAGCGGUACAGGCGUAGCAAUACGUGACUGAGACGAGCGGCGAACGGGUGAGUAAUGCUUCGGAAUCUGCCUGGUAGUGGGGAAUAACCAGUCGAAAGACUGGCUAAUGCCGCAUACGACCCUUUUUCGAAUUGGAAUUGGGUGAAAGCGGGGGAUCGCAAGACUCGCGCUAAUAGAUGAGCCGAAGUCGGAUUAGCUAGUUGGUGAGGUAAUGGCUCACCAAGGCUUCGAUCAGUAUCCGGUCUGAGAGGACGGUCGGACACACUGGAACUGAGACACGGUCCAGACUCCUACGGGAGGCAGCAGUGGGGAAUUUUUGGCAAUGGGGGAAACCCUGACCAAGCAACGCCGCGUGGAUGAUGAAGUCUCUUGGGACGUAAAAUCCUUUCGACGGGGAAGAAAGCCGCAAGGCUUGACGGUACCCGUAGAAGAAGCCCCGGCUAACUCCGUGCCAGCAGCCGCGGUAAUACGGGGGGGGCGAGCGUUGUUCGGAAUUACUGGGCGUAAAGGGCGCGUAGGCGGUUUGUUAAGUUGGAUGUGAAAACUUUGGGCUUAACCCAGAGCCUGAUCCAAAAUUAGCAGACUAGAGUUCUGGAGGGGGUAGCGGAAUUCCUGGUGUAGCGGUGAAAUGCGUAGAUAUUCAGGGAAGGAACACCGGUGGGAAGGGAGGUACCGUGGAACAGAAAGUGAAGCUGAAGGCGCGGAAAG
rnacentral:rRNA from 1 species